CCUACGGGUGGCAGCAGUGAGGAAUAUUGGUCAAUGGACGCAAGUCUGAACCAGCCAAGCCGCGUGAAGGAAGACGGCCCUAUGAGUUGUAAACUGCUUUUGUACGAGGGUAAACGCAGCUACGCGUAGCUGUCUGUAAGUAUCGUAUGAAUAAGGAUCGGCUAACUCCGUGCCAGCAGCCGCGGUAAUACGGAGGAUUCAAGCGUUAUCCGGAUUUAUUGGGUUUAAAGGGUGCGUAGGCGGUCUGAUAAGUCAGUGGUGAAAUCCCGAGGCUCAACUGCGGAAUUGCAUCUGAAACUGUCCGGCUAGAGAGUAGUAGCGGUAGGCGGAAUGUAUGGUGUAGCGGUGAAAUGCUUAGAGAUCAUACAGAACACCGAUUGCGAAGGCAGCUUA
rnacentral:rRNA from 1 species